rnacentral:rRNA from 1 species
UACGUAGGGAGCAAGCGUUGUCCGGAAUCAUUGGGCGUAAAGCGCGCGUAGGUGGCCCCAUAAGUCCGCUGUGAAAGUCAAAGGCUCAACCUUUGAAAGCCGGUGGAUACUGUGGGACUAGAGUACGGAAGAGGCGAGUGGAAUUCCUGGUGUAGCGGUGGAAUGCGCAGAUAUCAGGAGGAACACCAAUAGCGAAGGCAGCUCGCUGGGACGUUACUGACACUGAGACGCGAAAGCGUGGGGAGCAAACAGG